AUUUCUGGUAGAAAACAAAGUGCACAUUUUCUGUUACUCAAUAUCAGUUACUAGGAUAUUCAUCGUCAAUCGAUUGAUAGCAAUUGAUAUCAAAAAGGUAACUUUACUAAUUGAUAUUGGAUAAUUUAAUGCAUUUGCAAUGAUCAAUUUCCAUUAAAUGGAGUUGUAGCUCUGAACAAUUUUAGUGGAUAGACAAUUUUCAUGUAUCAUAUCUUACACCUUGUAAUGAUAACUGGUAUUUAUUUGAAUAUUUUGUUGUUAUGCUUGAAAUUAAUUUGUUAUUCCUACCAUGAUAUUGUAAUUUGAAUGGUGAGGUUUCAACAAUUGUGAUGUUGAUUGUAUAUGAAUAAAUGAAUUGCACUGUCAUUGGCAAAAGAAGGUUUUGCCCUAUAUGAUUUCCUGUUUGAAGCAAAAACUUCAGGACAAUCACCUUCAAAUCAUGGAUAAUUGAGUGUCGAGCCCACUAGUUUUAGCUGACAUAUCACUUUGUUUCAUGGUAUGCAAUGUUAUUCUCACUGAUGAUUUGGCUCAUUCAGUAGAAAUGAUAUCAACCAGAGCUGGAGUCCACAAAUUAAAUUACGCUUAAUAUCUUUCAACAGAUCUAAAUGUCAUUCUUGGUCAUGGGACACAUGCAUGAAAACAUUAACCAGAUGUUAUCAUGUUUUUUUAGGCAACUCUCCAUAAAUAAUGUCCACACACUUGGUGAAUCAAAAAAGUGGAAUGAGGAGUACAGUUUACAAACAGUGCAACACAGUUGAUUGACAUUUAUUUUAAGCUGGUCCUUUCUUUGUUAGGACGAAUUAUUGCUCUUUGAAGACGUUGAGGAAUUGUUUGUGAAGUCAACGCGGAGUUAAAGUUAGAAGUUGAUAGUGUUGCUGUUCUGAUCACAGACCAAUUUUUCUUUAAGACUAUCUUCAUGAAAGAGUUGCUAGUGAUGCCAACAGGGAUUGAAA